rnacentral:rRNA from 1 species
AGAGUUUGAUCCUGGCUCAGGAUGAACGCUGACAGAAUGCUUAACACAUGCAAGUCGACUGGAAUUCUUCUUCGGAAGAUAGUACGGUGGCGGACGGGUGAGUAACGCGUAAAGAAUUUGCCCUUCAGACUGGGACAACUAACCGAAAGGUUAGCUAAUACCGGAUAUUACGAGACCUUGGCAUCAAGGACUUAUGAAAGCUAUAUGCGCUGGAGGAGAACUUUGCGUCCCAUUAGGUAGUUGGUAGGGUAAUGGCCUACCAAGCCGACGAUGGGUAGCCGGCCUGAGAGGGUGAACGGCCACAAGGGGACUGAGACACGGCCCUUACUCCUACGGGAGGCAGCAGUGGGGAAUAUUGGACAAUGGACCAAAAGUCUGAUCCAGCAAUUCUGUGUGCACGAUGAAGGUCUUCGGAUUGUAAAGUGCUUUCAGGUGGGAAGAAGAAAGUGACGGUACCACCAGAAGAAGCGACGGCUAAAUACGUGCCAGCAGCCGCGGUAAUACGUAUGUCGCAAGCGUUAUCCGGAAUUAUUGGGCGUAAAGCGAGUCUAGGCGGCUUGUUAAGUCAGAUGUGAAAAUGCGGGGCUCAACUCCGUAUUGCGUUUGAAACUGGCAGGCUAGAGUACUGGAGAGGUGGGCGGAACUACAAGUGUAGAGGUGAAAUUCGUAGAUAUUUGUAG